GUUGUUGUGGUGUAGUGGUUAUCACGUCAGUCUUACACACUGAAGGUCCCCAGUUCAAUUUUGGGGAGUAACA
rnacentral:tRNA from 1 species